rnacentral:misc_RNA from 1 species
AAGUCGUAACAAGGCACCUGCGGAAGGAUCAUUAACACGUAUCCAACGUUAAAACAACCCCCGUGAACUUUCAGCUUGCUCCUGUAGCCCGUGAAAACAGCAAUCCCUGGUAAAUCAUUGUUCACCAGCUUUUGAGUCAGAGACCUCUGCCGAGUGUGAUAUUUUAUAGCUACGGUUGAGCGAUUGCAUCUAGUGACUGAAAGUGUCAUUGAUUAUGUAAGGAUGGCGCAGUCACGAUCGCUGUAGGCCCACACGGCCGGCGACCGGGUCACCGGGCUCUGCCCCUUUACGACAACACAGUACGAAUUGGCCGCGCGUGAAAUUCGCACGGCACCAAAAACCGAACAAUGGAUAUCUUGGUUCUC